rnacentral:rRNA from 1 species
GACGAACGCUGGCGGCGUGCUUAACACAUGCAAGUCGAACGGAAAGGCCCUGCUUUUGUGGGGUGCUCGAGUGUCGAACGGGUGAGUAACACGUGAGUAACCUGCCCUUGACUUUGGGAUAACUUCAGGAAACUGGGGCUAAUACCGGAUAGGAGCUCCUGCUGCAUGGUGGGGGUUGGAAAGUUUCGGCGGUUGGGGAUGGACUCGCGGCUUAUCAGCUUGUUGGUGGGGUAGUGGCUUACCAAGGCUUUGACGGGUAGCCGGCCUGAGAGGGUGAGCGGCCACAUUGGGACUAAGAUACGGCACAGAGUGCGACGGGAGGCAGCAGUGGAGAAUAUUGCACAGUGGGCGGAAGCCUGAUGCAGCAACGCCGCGUGCGGGAUGACGGCCUUCGGGUUGUAAACCGAUUACGCAUGUGACGAAGCGUGAGUGACGGUAAUGGGUAAAGAAGCACCGGCAAACUAAGUG